rnacentral:rRNA from 1 species
UACGUGUGGGGCAAGCGUUGUUCGGAAUUACUGGGCAUAAAGGGUGCGUAGGCGGUUUUAUAAGUCAGGGGUGAAAGCCGAUGGCCCAACCAUCGAAUUGCCUUUGAUACUGUAGAACUUGAGUGUGUUAGGGGUGAGCGGAACGUUUGGUGUAGCGGUGAAAUGCGUAGAUAUCAAACGGAAGGCCGGAGCCGAAGGGGGCUCACUGGGACACAACUGACGCUGAGGCACGAAAGCGUGGGGAGCAAACAGG